rnacentral:rRNA from 1 species
AGAGUUUGAUCCUGGCUCAGGAUGAACGCUAGCGACAGGCCUAACACAUGCAAGUCGAGGGGUAGCAUGAAAGUAGCAAUACUUUUGAUGACGACCGGCGCACGGGUGAGUAACGCGUAUGCAACCUACCUACUACAGGGGAAUAGCCCGAAGAAAUUCGGAUUAAUGCCGCAUAAUACAGGGGCACCGCAUGGUGAUAUUUGUUAAAGAUUAAUUGGUAGUAGAUGGGCAUGCGUUCCAUUAGCCAGUUGGUGAGGUAACGGCUCACCAAAGCAACGAUGGAUAGGGGAACUGAGAGGUUUAUCCCCCACACUGGUACUGAGACACGGACCAGACUCCUACGGGAGGCAGCAGUGAGGAAUAUUGGUCAAUGGGCGAGAGCCUGAACCAGCCAAGUCGCGUGAAGGAUGACUGCCCUAUGGGUUGUAAACUUCUUUUGUACUGGGGUAAAAAAGAGGACGUGUCCUUUCUUGCAAGUACAGUACGAAUAAGCAU